rnacentral:rRNA from 1 species
GACGAACGCUGGCGGCGUGCUUAACACAUGCAAGUCGAACGGAAAGGCCCUGCUUUUGUGGGGUGCUCGAGUGGCGAACGGGUGAGUAACACGUGAGUAACCUGCCCUUGACUUUGGGAUAACUUCAGGAAACUGGGGCUAAUACCGGAUAGGAGCUCCUGCUGCAUGGUGGGGGUUGGAAAGUUUCGGCGGUUGGGGAUGGACUCGCGGCUUAUCAGCUUGUUGGUGGGGUAGUGGCUUACCAAGGCUUUGACGGGUAGCCGGCCUGAGAGGGUGACCGGCCACAUUGGGACUGAGAUACGGCCCAGACUCCUACGGGAGGCAGCAGUGGGGAAUAUUGCACAAUGGGCGGAAGCCUGAUGCAACAACGCCGCGUGCGGGAUGACGGCCUUCGGGUUGUAAACCGCUUUCGCCUGUGACGAAGCGUGAGUGGCGGUAAUGGGUAAAGAAGCACCGGCUAACUACGUG